rnacentral:lncRNA from 1 species
GUUCCUCUCUGCCCACCUCUCCAGCCUGUCCAGGUCUCUCUGAAUGGCAGCACAGCCCUCUGGUGUAUCGGCCACUCCUCCCAGUUUUGUAUCRUCAGCAAACUGAUGAGGGUGCACUCUGUCCCUUCAUCCAGGUCACUGAUGAAGAAGUUGAACAAGACUGGACCCAGUACUGACCCCUGGGGGACACCGCUGGCUACAGGCCUCCAACUGUGCUCCAAGAGCACAACCCUCUGAGCUCUGCCAUUCAGCCAGUUCUCAAUCCACCUCACUGUCCACUCAUCCAACCCACACUUCCUGAGGGUGUUAUGGGAGAUGGUGUCAAAACAUCCUCAGAGGUAAGCUCAGGAAGUGUGGGUUGGAUGAGUGGACAGUGAGGUGGAUUGAGAACUGUCUGAAUAGCAGACACCUCAAUUCACUGAAAGUCUCCUGUUACCUUUAAGGUGCAAGUAAGAAACUCCAGUGAGAGUUCUGUGCUGCUGGCUUCUAGAAGCAGUCACUGAAAGCUGCAGUACUGUCUGGGACUGGCUGUGGGUAUGAUCUCUCCUUUCGUGGAGCAUGGGCUGAGUGUAAUCUAUGUGCUAAGACCUUCUGAAAGAGCACUUGAAAGAAGAAGUCCAAACAAGCUCUUUGAGACCAGGAUUAAGUCUUAGAAAUUAAAAUGUCGUCAUGGGUCAAGGUUACCAGGUGCCAAGUUCAAAAACCUGUUGUCAACAAAAGGUGAUGGCCACACCAGGGAUGAUCGCGGAGAGAAGCAAUACCUGCAGUUUUACCAACAGAUGUGGAAAGAAUAUGAUAUAGACUCUGUCAUUGUUGCCAUCAGCAAGGAGCAACUGUACAUUUCUAUUAAGAUCUUUCAGCUAAUUUUAUUAUACAGGAAAGUAUUUUCUGCCUUGUAUUCCAUACCAAGUUUGUURCUGAUGUUACAUUCCUGUGUAUUUAACCCAUUUGAAACAUGUAGGCAACACAGGCCAUAUAUUUUGCAUUCACAUAUCUUCUGAUAACAGAAUCAACAGUUUACUAAAGUUGUGCUGAGGCAGUCAUUCUUGUGUGUUGGAUCCUGGAUCUGUAAAUAAAGUAUUUGAUGCCCCUCCUCCUCCCUGACCU